CCACGCAGCCGGGGAGAUAGCGGUGCCCUGUACCUGCAAUCCGCUCUAGCAGGGGUGAUACCUCGCCCCGGACAGCUUACUGCGGGGCUGCCUUGUGAAAGUGGUGUUGACGUUUGGGUCUUACGCAAUGGGAAUCUGUGAACCGUGUCAGGGCAGGAAUGCAGCAGCACUAAGCGGAACCUCUCAUGUGCCGUAAGGUCGCCUGGACUGAGCUAACUACAUGAGUAACGCCCGUGGUAACUGCACAAAGCGAGGUGCGUGG
rfam:Clostridium asparagiforme DSM 15981 genomic scaffold Scfld4, whole genome shotgun sequence.